GUUAACCUCUAUGAACUCGUCCUGUCAGGGAGAAGAAAGAUACAAAUAUACAAUGGGAAGUUAGAGGGAGAUGAGGGUGUUAAAUGUUACAGUAAGUAAAGAUUUGCUUACUUUAACACGUAACUGGCACCUUUCAAAACAAAAGGUACAAAUUGUUUCACAAUAAAAGCUUUCUCCAGAAAAUCUCAAACAGCAAGAAAAGGGAGACGGAGGUUAAUUGUUACCCACAUCAGAAGAAGAUUAGCCCCGUCUAAGGAACAUUUCUGUUUCUUCUUUCAAACUAGGCAUUUACCGGUUUAGAGUUCCACCUUGGUUUUAAAAAGUCACGGUUUUAAAACCACUGAAAUUUUCCAUCAUACCGUUCUUAAGGUAUGAGCUGUUUUUUAAUAGUCUUCAAGAACCGAAAGUGCACUUUAGAAAUCCCACUCCCUGCCAGUGUGCAGUGUGUAUAAAAUAGCAUGCAUUGUGUUCAAUGUUUUUUUUACCCAGACAUUU